GGAGGGCUGUAGCUAAGCUGUAGAACAUCUGCCCCACAUGCGGAAGGUCCCAGGUUCAAUCCCGGUCAUCUCCA